rnacentral:tmRNA from 1 species
UUGUUUGAUUCUUUAACGAUCUCACCCUAUACUGUAAGGGUCAGCUUCGGUUGACUACGAUGCUAAACGCUUUGCGGAAUAAGCGUUGUGGACCCGGGGGCAGUGCCCGGCGGCUCCACCAUAUGGAACCUUCUUCUUUCGAGGUUUUAUGUGAUGGGGCCGAAACAGGAUCGACACGCGUGGUAAAGGUGAAGUCUGCGUCCGUUUGAGAUACGGUCGUAUCCGUUCAAGGCAAUAUAAAUGCCAACGAUAACUUCUCUGUAGUUGCAGCCAAUGACAACGUUUUCGUUGCCGAGGCUAUCGCCGCCUAAUUUUAGGUCGCGGACUACGAACUUAAAUCCCUAGGCCCUAAGAAAGCCUAGGUGGGGGCGCGGGGCGGCCUGGCAACAGAACAGCCCCAUU